UGGGGAAUAUUGGGCAAUGGGCGAAAGCCUGACCCAGCAACGCCGCGUGAAGGAAGAAGGUCUUCGGAUUGUAAACUUCUUUUAUGAGGGACGAAGGACGUGACGGUACCUCAUGAAUAAGCCACGGCUAACUACGUGCCAGCAGCCGCGGUAAUACGUAGGUGGCAAGCGUUAUCCGGAUUUACUGGGUGUAAAGGGCGCGUAGGCGGGGAUGCAAGUCAGAUGUGAAAUCUAUGGGCUUAACUCAUAAACUGCAUUUGGAAACUGUAUCUCUUGAGUGCUGGAGAGGUAGAUGGAAUUCCUUGUGUAGCGGUGAAAUGCGUAGAUAUAAGGAAGAACACCAGUGGCGAAGGCGAUCUACUGGACAGUAACUGACGCUGAGGCGCGAAAGCGUGGGGAGCAAACAGGAUUAGAUACCC
rnacentral:rRNA from 1 species